UUAAUUCAAGUUAAAAUUUGAAUUUUGAAUUUGACUAUAUGUUUAUAUUGAGAUUCUAGUAAAUAAUUCAUUUUGAAGUUGAGGGGGGUCUCCAUACAUUUUAAUAUUAAAUUUUAUUUUCAUAUUAUGUAAAAUAUUAUAAUGUACUGAUAGAUCAAGAUCAAGUGUACCUAAUAAUUUUCAUAGAUAUCUUUCGGAGGUGUAGAGUUACUAUACUAUCGGAAGCAUAGAGAAGUUGAUGCUUCCGACUUUUUGACUAUUGGAUUAAUAAUUAUACAGUUGGGAUGAUUGCAAUCCUUCCUAGGAUUGAGUAGUACCCCUAGGGUUGAGUGGUCCCUACAAAAUAAUAGUAUUAAUCCAAAGGUUAGAAAUGAUCAAAAGGAUUGAUCUAAGAGCCAAAAAGUCGGAAGCACCGGAUCCUCUAUACUUCCGAUAGUAUAAUAGCUCUACUGAUCCUCUCAGAGAUACUAAUCAUGAAUUUUUUGGGGAAAAAAAAAACAUUAAGACUUUGAAACUUAUAUAACCCUAAACCCUGAACACUAAACCCUAAACCAUAAAUGUUAGAAACUAUUUUGAAAUUUUCUAGAAAGUUACAAAUCUAUAUGAAAAUUUCUGCACAAAAGAUGAAAAAAAUGCUUCUUGAAAUAAACAAGAUAAACAUAUAUUGUAAGUGCAUCUCUUUUGAAAUAAACAUAUAUUUAAUUUUUUUUAAAAUAAUUUUACUGCCUAAUCAAUUUGAUCACAUAUUUAUUAUUUAGUAAAACAAAAGCUAAUUUCUUUUUCAAAUGCAAAAGAAAGACAAAAAUUAAUAUUUAAAAAUAAGUUUUUCGGUAAUUAACGAUGGAUACUUAGGCUUCGUUUCGUUUGGAAUAUUUAAAAAUAAGUUUUUCGGUAAUUAACGAUGGAUGCUUAGGCUUCGUUUGGGAUAUUUAAAAAUAAGUUUUUCAGUAAUUAACGAUGGAUGCUUAGGCUCCGUUUGGAAUUGCGAGGAGAUUGUGUUACGUACGGUGAGAAAGUUGGGAAAAUACUCAGCAUAUUCCUAUAUGCUUUUUUCCUAACUCUAUUUUAUCUAACAAAUAGAGUUCAAUACCAAACUAAACCUGUGGAAUAACCCCUUAACCCCCAUUUUAUCCCCAAACACUUCUAAAAAUGGGUGGGGUUAGCUAACCCCACCUCAAAUGGGUUAUCUCACUAACCCCACCUAACCCCACCAAACCCCAACCAAAUACUAUUUUCUAUUCAUAAUAACCCACUAUCCUUCUUAUCCCACCUACUCCAACAAAACACUAUUUUUCACUAUUCUGGACUAACUCCAACCCCCAACCAAACACAAAAAUACUCUAACCCCACCUUAACCCUAAACUUAACCCUAUCCCUGAAAUAACUAGUUUUUCCUUAACCCCGAACCAAACGGUAGCUGGAAGCAUCCCAAACGAAAUAGUCUACACUCAAGCUUCGAAGCAUCAAAAAAAAUAAAGAUACUAUAUGAUGCAAUUUAUCCUUCAAUAGAUCAUUGAUUUGAGACACUCUACACAACAAUACGCUUUUAAUGAGAUUUUCUUAUAGUGACUCACCCGUUCUUAUCGCAGCAGAUGCGUAACAGCGUGCGGGUAUCUGCAGCGACGGCCGCGAGGAGCUUCGCCCUCUGGAGUUCGUCGCAGGCGUUGAUGAACCUCUCGAGAACGCGAAAGUCGUGCCUAUCCAGGAUCAGGUUCUUUACUUCGUUGAGCACCGUCGGAAAGAAGACUGCGACGUAUUUGUAGUCCCCAUGCAGCAGACUCAGAUUCAAGAACUGUAUCGUCUGCGCCGGAAUUCGGUGCAGCCUGCUGUCGGAGGUGGCCGUACGCAGCGGCGCGAAUUGUCGACGAUGGUGGGAAUCGGCAUUAAUGGCAGCGAAGGCCGUAGACAGCGGCGCGAAUUGUCGAGGAUGGUAGGAAUCGGCAUUGGCGGGGAAAGGAUGUGGGGAGGGGGAGGGGUGGUGGUUUGGGGGGAGUGGCGAAGAGGGGGGAGAGAGGAAGAGAUCGUCGGGCAAGAAGAAGGAACAAUUGCAGGAGGACGAGGAGGCAGGAGACGACGUCGAGAGGCUGAGGCCCGAGAAAUUGUUGCCAGCCGGUCCAAGUCGCCGGCUGUGGGGUUGAUGCGGUCCAUGGCCAAGCUCCGAGUGACUUACGUAGAGAAGUAGUACAUGCAUAACAUAUAUAUAUAUAUAUAUAUAUUAAUUAUAUAUAUAUAUAUAUAUAUAAUAUAUAAUAUAUAUAUAAUUGAAGGUCUUAAAUAAGUUUUUUUUUUUUUUUUUUUUUUUUUUUUUUCUUCUCGGAGAAGAAGAGAGUAGAACUAGGAGUAUGUGAAACAAAGAUGAUAUGAUAUAUAUAUAUAUAUAGAGAGAGAGAACGACGAAAUUCUCUAGAAAUCUGUUAGGAUUCGAGUUGGGCAUGAAACAAAUAUUUUUAUUUAUCUAUAAAAUACUUAAGUUGUCAGCAAACCGGAUUGCAAAAUUAUAUAUUUAUCUAACAUAGAGAUUAUUUAAUCUUUAGAAAAUAUAUAAAUGAUUUUAAUCCAAACGGAAGGUUUAGAUGGAUAUAAUUUAAUCCAUUCAUUUAAUUUGCUUGUUAUUGGUUAAAUAAAAAUUAUUAUUUUUAAUUAUAUAUAUAUAUAAUAUAUUAUAUAACGGUGUAAUCCAAAGAAUCUUUGAUUUUCUUGUUCUUUUUCUUUUUCUUUUUCUUUCUUUGGCUUCUUAAGGAGUAGCAAAGGCAAUUUAUUUUAAUCCAAAAAAUAAUUUUAAAUAUUGUUAUGUACUUAGAGGAGCCGGCCACCGGACGAGGGGAAUUAUGUCAAGUAUUUGUGAUAGACUAAUAGAAAUUAAGUUCUGAUUAAUACACGCUUUAUUAACUAGAUACUGUAAACUUAUAAAUUUACGCAUCCAAACAAAUAAGAUAAGACCGAAAUACUUGCCUUAUAUAUACUUAUAUAUAUAUAGAGAGAGAGAGAGAGAGAGUUGAGCCGGAUAGUGUAGCAAACGGACUCCGUUGCUAUCCAUUUGUUUUCGAUGAUAGAACUUUCAAAUCGACGAUUGGCACCAUUAAUUGAACAUGAUCUAUAAUACUUAAAACAUAUAGAAACUAAAUUUCAAAUCUUUUUGAAAUUAUUGACCUAAUGAUCAAAGUAUUUCAAAAUUUAUAAUUUUAAUGGUAGAUAUGAGACGUUUUCUCGUUUAACGAUUUAGAAAAUUUUGGUUAAAUUUUUUUUUAAACUAUUUAGAAAUUUAUACUCUUGAUCUUGAUUAAAAAUUUUCUAUCAUCUCUUUUUAAAAAAUAUUUAAUUUCAGCUAUUCAUUUUUAUAUCAACUUGAUGGACAAGAGAAUAAUAUCAAAAAAACAUAAAAUUUGAUUUUUAGAUACUUCAAGCGGUAUAAAUUAUGUUCAACGAUACCGAUCGUCGAUUUAAAGAUUUCAGCAUCAAAAGCAAAUGGAUAGUAACGAAACCCGUUUGGUACCGAUACCAUUUUAGCUCAACUCUAUAUGUAUAUAUUAUCAUACGUCCAACUUUUAUUGCUGCACCUGUAAUAUGGUUGGGUCUGUAAGGAUUCAACAAACCCCUAGAAAUUAUUCUGUGGACCUGGUCUACGUAUCAACACCACAUAAUCCGAGCAAUGCAAUCUGUACACUCCUAAAUUACAUAUACAAUGUACACUCCAUUCAUCCAAAGGCCCGUUUUCUUUCUCUACUAUUAUCAUCUAAAAUUUAUUUGGAUAUUUAUAAACCUUAAGAUUAAAAAGAUUUACGAUUUAUAUCAAUCUAUAUAGAUAUACGAACAGCAUUUUUCCUGCUUAUAAAUUAUAUACCAAGUUACUAAGGAGACGAUAAAGAGAUAUUAGCAUAAGUAAAAUCUUAUAAAAUUUUUGGCCCUGUUUGGAUGAUGAUAUCAGUUUGUACUUGAUAAAUAAUGAGUAUAAUAUAAUCAAACAUAAAAAAAAAACAUAUCAUAUUUAACCUUGCAGACAGAAUGAAAUAAAUUACUUCAUAAGUAAAAUAUGUUAUUUUAUUAAAUCACAAAUGUUACGAGCUUUAAAAAGCCAGUUUGCAAUCGCAGAUAUAAGACUUCUCAAAAUGGAAUGUUUUAAGUUGGUAUGAUGUGCAUUUUGUACACCUGGUCCAACCAAUCUUUUCUAGUUGGCAUGGUGCAACAACCCCAAAUUAAUAAUCACUAGACCAUCACCAACUUAUAAAGCUCACAUUUUUCUCUUCUUUUAGACUGCAAAGUUUGUAGUUUUAAAGUAUCUGCAGCUGCUUCUAGUUUCUGAGUCUUAAGCCACUGUUAUGGAAGCUCAUCAAAUCUAUACCCUCUCUCAAAUUUCCUCUCACAACGGUGUGAAUGAUUGCUGGGUCGCCAUAGGUGGCAAGGUCCUCUCUCUCUCCUCUCACUCUCUUUCUUUUUUUUUUCUUUUUUUCUUUUUUUUUUUUGGUCUAUGUUUUGAGUAUAUGUAAUGUUAUACAUGUCAGGUUAGUUUAAGUAGAUGAAAGUGUUUACAUAAUUUUAAGUAAAGAGACAAAUAUAAGAUAACUUUUUCAUUAAAUGGCCAAGUUUGAUUUUUGGUUUCGACCAACAAAACAAUUGAUAUGGCCAUUUUAUAGAAAUUUCUCUCUCUCGAGUCUCGUAGGAACCUAAGAUUGAUUGUUUUGCUAGUAAUUUAUACAAAAAUAAAUAAAUAAAUAAAUAAACAACUCAGUGGAUGAAAUUAAUAAAUUUAUUAUUAAUUUUAUGUACGUGGUGCGAGUAUUACAGAAAAGAAUUCUUCAUGAUUUGCAUAUGUUUGUAGGUGAUUGAUGUAACCAACUUCUUGCAAGAACACCCGGGAGGCGACGUGCUGCUGCUGGAGGUCGCGGGGAAAGACGCCACGCAGGACUUCAAGGCGAUCGGGCACAGCAAGGGCGCGAAGAGCCUCCUCCUCAGAUACCAAGUCGGAGUCGUGGAAGGGUUCGAGGCGAAGGCGGAGGAGGAUGUGGCUGCUGCUUCGAAGGAUCGCGACGUAGCAGAAGAGACUGCGACUGGUAAAGCGACUCAGACGAUGACCGGGUUUCCGAUUGAGGAUGGCGACGACAAAAGCAACAGCCAUGGUAGAGAGUUUGGGCUCAUACAAUUCCUUGUGCCUCUUCUUAUUGCCUGCUUAGUGUUCUGGUACAGAUGCUCUUCUACCAUAACAGAAAUGUUUAGUUGAAGUUAAAUGUGUAAUAAAAAACUUAAGAAUAGUUCCUGCACUAUCCAGUAUUGCGAUUUGGUCCUCGACCGCCAAAAAGAUAAAUUAUUGAUCUAAUCAAAUUGAAAUGAAAGACGGUUUUCAAAGAAAUAUUACGAUUUUGUUUUCGUCAGAGAUUGGAAUACAGUUUAUGUGAAAUGUAAAGAGUACAGGGACCAAGUCGCAAUAUCAAGAUAGUACAGGGACUAUUCAUACAUUUUAUAAUUUUCCAUCACAUAGUAACUAGCAGGGAAUAACAGAUCCAUAGAUGCAGUACAUCACCUGUUACAAUAAACAAUACUGCUGCACAGUAAGGACAACCUCUUUAUGUUAACAAAAUUUAGAACCAUGCGUAUGCUAUAUUAUCCUUUACAGUAUCAUAAUUACAAUGCUUAAUUUCCUAGUUAUUUUUGUAUUAUAAGUGCAUUUAUAAUAUAAAUAUGUUUUCUUAGCAUGUUACAAGUUUCCUAUGAUUGUUGUGCAAUGUCCCAGAAAGAUUUCAAAAUACUGUUGAACAAAUAGACUAUAGAAGAUUGAGAAACCCCUUAGUUUGAUUCCAGAAACAAUUUUAAAAAACAAAAAGAAGAUUCAGAAACCGCCGGCUAGGGAUUUGUUAGUUUUACCGGUUGGUUCGACCCUCGAAUGAGUUUGCUUCAAUCAUAUGGUAUCUGGAAUAUUACCUAUCUUGGUACAAAGAGAAAUAAAGGGCCCAAAAAAAAAAAAAAGAAAAUAGUGUAACUCUCUGAUUAUAGUAUGGAAAUGACAUGAAUUGUGAAGAGCACAGUAACAUAUAGAUCAACAAAAUUCCAAACCACUUGGAACUCGAGGUUUCUGAGAAUCAAGCACAGCAAAUUUUACAACAGUGAGAAACUAAAAAGCAACAACACAUGAAAGAAUUGUGAACUCGCGCGCUUAUCAUGCAUUCUUCAGAUGUUAUUCUCACAAAAAAGGAGAUUAUAUAUUGCAGAUAAUAGCAGGAAAGCAUAUAGUUUUUUUUUUUUGUUUUUUUAAGUCUGUAUCUUGUACAUCUCAGAGAAGUGAUACAACUAAAAGAACACCCAACUUGCCCUUGAAACUAAAAUAGAAUCCUCACAAGCAUAAAGCCAAAACCAGCCAAAAAGUUCAAUAUUACAUAUUCCGUAAUGAUGAACACGACGAUCCCGGUUCCCUUUCGUUAGAUUGCAAUUCUAUGCUACAAAGACACCAUAGUACAUUAACACGCCGGUAUGUUGAAUAUCAACUUACUGCAAUGUAUGUUAAAACAAGAACUUAAAUGAUCGAAAUUAGUUGCCACAACUGUCGCGUACACAUGAUGGCGGUCAUAUGACAGCUCGACAGUAUGGGCAAUCUCCGCAAUUGAGCAACCAUGGCACUAAACAAUCUGGAUGAAACCUAUGGCCACACCACAGCCUCAUGAGCUCAACGCCCUCUUUAAAUCUCUCCAGACAUAUAGAACACUCCAGUGAUGCCCUAAUGGAUUCAUCAUCCUCCUCUACAUGUCGAAAAACUUCAUGUUUUAGGGCAUUGAGAGCUUCCUUGCUUAGUCCAGGGGGUCUCCUGUUGUUAAAAUUGCGAACAGAGAAGGCUUCCUCUGAUUCAAUAGUGAAGUUGGAAAAUGGCGAACCAGAUUCAUACCACUCUGCUGGAGCCUCAGUUUCUCGAUUUCCAAUGCUAACAACCCUAAAAACACCACUGAUUGCGAAUUCAUCCCAUGAUAUACCAGAAACUGCAGUGUUUUGCCUGGCAAAAGAUUUAGAGAAGAAUUGUUAGCAUGAUGUAUGAUACUAAGCGUACAUAUAAUAUGUGUUGUUAAGCUGACGACUGAUCAAUGGAUAGACUGAUCAGAGGGCCUCAAUGUCCUAAUAAAAUUCCAAUUUGGUCCUCAGCUUCUCAAUUUUUACAGCUGAGUCCCUGCCAUCUGAAUCCGGUAACAAUCACGAUCAUCAGUGCCCUGUACAACUUCACCAUGCAAGUAAGAUACACCCUACUUGAUAGAGGAGCCCAACAGUCACAUGGCAGGUAAUGGCGAUUAGACAAACAUCUGUCUCCAUUUAACAGAGAUAUUCAACAAGAUGGCUAAAACUGCAGCAAGAGACAUGGUAAGGUACCUAACAGUAAAAUAAUAAAAGUUUCGAGGACUGAACUGAAAGUUUGUUAAACGGUUCAGAACCCAAUGUGCAAUACCCAUUAUCCACUAAUCCAAAUUAAUAAGCAUGUCGUCAGCUAAUAUAGAAGAGAAAAGACCUGCUUUCUGUGAGGGAAAUGCCCCUUAGUCUUUCUAUAAGCCGUUCUCGUGCCUGUACCACGGCACCAGGAAGUCUCUCACUUCUGAUUAAUCGCAACCUGUCGAUCCCACUUGUAGUUCCAUCAAUGCCAUCAUUUCCUCCAGUAGAAUCACUAGCAGUAAUGGCGUCCAAUUGAAUUGAUUCGAGUUCCUAAAGAUAAUAGAGCCAAGAUGAGCGGACUCAAUGCAAAAAUUAUUAAAUGACGAAAAUAGCAUAUAUAAAUAUGUGUAGUCGAUUCAAAUUAGUCAGAAUAAACGAACAAAAUGAAGCACAGCUGACAGAUCUCAAAAUCAUAUUUAGUCCAUUUGCAUCUAAUUGAUUUGCAGAACAGGACUUAUGCUGCAAUACAUAGAAAGCUCCAAAGUAAAAAUGAAAAAUUGGAUACAUUAAUUCUGUUGAAUGGUGAACAAGCUAUGGUCUAUUUGGAGAGCUUAGCAUUUGUUUUUUUUUUUUAAACUAAAUGAUAUACAAGAUUCUCCAAAGAAGAAAAAAGGGAAUAAGAAAAAAACUAAAAAGUUGGUGACAAAAGAAGAAGGAACAUGCAAGAAGCAAACUAUGUAGACAAACAUUUGCAUUUCUAUGCUGUUGGGGAACUCGUAGUAAUUUAGUAAAUGUAAGGAAAGGAGUGAUAGUUUGCUGUAAACAAAGGUAAACGUUGUCAUCUCUUUCAAUUUUAGAUUUACAAGUUGAUGAAAGAAAUAUUUAGUUAAGGUGAUAUGUUUACUUCUCAGCAUAAUAUUAGCCAAUUCAACGUUUGGUUCUCAGUUUAUCUGGACCAAACAAUAAGAAAUUUGAGUACCAUACAAGAUAUUCCAUAUGCUAACAAACAAGUUAAAAUGCGUUUUCCUUUUGUUGGCUCUCACAGCCAUGUAAUACAUCCACUAAAGGAAUGAAACCUUUGAUAUAGAAACACAGAACACUAGAAGAUGCGGCACAAUGUCCGCUAUGAAUCCAGUUGAUAGGAAAGCUCUACGAGCGAAGGAUGUUUCCAAACUAUCAGAUUUGUAUACAACCAAGCAAUUGAAUACAUAAGCACAUUCAAGUGAAUAUAAAACAAUGUUUACUGUGUUUCUCACAUAAUUAUUAUCAACUAAAGACUUCAAACAGUAGCUUACAAGGCUAGAAAAGAAACACCAUUUUAAAAUGGCAAAUCUAGUCAUUUAAAGUGACUACACCAUUGAUCUCAUUUUAUCACUCCUCAAAUUACAAAAGAGGAACUCUAGAUGAGUCAAAAAUAAAUUUUUUCUCUCACUAUAGGAUGCAGUAGUAAUGUAUAUUUAUUUAUUUACGUAGUUCAUUAGCAACUACAGGGCAAAAAGGAAAAGAAGGAAACUGCAACCACAAGCUACUUAACCAAAAAGAACGACUUUGAAGAACAUCUUUAAAAAACAAUAAAAAAAAUUAAGUAGCAUAAUGUAGGGGAAAAAAAUUUAUAAAAAAAAUGUUGAAGAGUACGAAGACAAAAGAAAACUACAUAAAGUGUGUGGUUCUACUUGAAAGUUAGCGUCUUUAUUGAUCCUACAAACAAAUCUCUCGAAUAUUCGCGAACAAUCUAGAGCUUUAGAGGCACGUAGAAUCAACGGGCUAGGGUUUUUAGGGUUUGGGUGGGGGGAUCGAUCGGUCCCCGUACUACUUACGAUCUGGGAGGCGCGAUGAUGGCACGGGUGGCGGCGGGGCGGGGCCUGCGCCUGGUGGCCGCCGAGGUCGCGGCGGCGGAGGCGGCGGCGGCGGCGGAGGCGGAGGCGGCGGAGAUCGGCGUCGCGAUCGGAGGGGAAGGGGCUGGGGGCCGAGGGUUCUGGACCCGGAUCCGGGUCGGAGAUGCGUCCCCCGCGAGAUCUCCAGUUGUAGAAAAGCUCAGAGGCGCUCGUCAUGGAUCCGACCUUCGUCUUCCUCGUCGUCCUCGUCUUCGUGUUCUUCGUGUUCUUAUUUCCUCCUCUUCCUCCUUUUAUACGGAGGACGAUGAUCUCACAAGCAAAUGGUUUUGUGAGAUUUGAUGGAUUUUUUUUUUUUUCCUUUUUCUUUUUUAGUUUUUAAUGGAGGAGGGGAGAAACGCUACGCGACGACGACCGCUGGAGAAGGAAAAUUACUCACUGUACCCGGCGUAUAAGUACAUCCCCUGCACCGAAGACGAAAAUAUUUUGUGUGUUGAAAUGAUAAAGAUUUUGAUGGUUGGUAUCCAAUUUGCCUCAUUCAAAAAUUAGGGGCUCUCAAAAAAGUGUGAAAAUAAAUAUUUCGAGUUUAGUUUUCCGUUAGUUCAGUUCUAAAAAAAUAAAUAUUUAUUAAAAAAAUAAUAUUUACAAAUAAAUAUAUACUGAUUUUUCAUUAAAUAAAUAAAAUUUAAAAUUUAUAUUUUCAGUUAAAAUUUUAUCUCUAAAAUAAAAAAUAUACUAAGUAUAAGUAGAUAGAUAGUAUGCUACUUUUUCUCUUAUCGAUAAUCAAAAUCGUUAAAGUCGAUUUGGAGUAUUUAAAGCGUCUUAAAAUUAAAUUUUAUAAACUUCAAAAAUAAUUUAUGUAGCGAUCUAAUAGUUGGUAACAUGAUAUAUUCUGAUAUAUUCAAAUCAAUAAGUUAGUAAUCCAAUAGGAGAUAACAUUUAGUCGUAACAGUUAUCUAGAUAUAUUCAAAUUAGUCGAGUUAGUAAUCCAUAACGUAUAUAUUGAGAUAUAUUCAAAUCUAUCUAGUAAUCCAAUAAGGGAUAAUAUAAUAAUU
rnacentral:lncRNA from 1 species